rnacentral:rRNA from 1 species
UACAGAGGUCUCAAGCGUUGUUCGGAUUCAUUGGGCGUAAAGAGCGUGUAGGCGGCCAGGUAGGUCUGCUGUGAAAACUCGAGGCUUAACCUCGAGCUGUCGGCGGAAACCAUCUGGCUAGAGUCCGGAAGAGGAGAAUGGAAUUCCUGGUGUAGCGGUGAAAUGCGCAGAUAUCAGGAAGAACACCCGUGGCGAAGGCGGGUCUCUGGACAGUUCCUGACGCUGAGGCACGAAGGCCAGGGGAGCAAACGGG